rnacentral:rRNA from 2 species
GGAUGCGAUCAUACCAGCACUAAAGCACCGGAUCCCAUCAGAACUUCGAAGUUAAGCGUGCUUGGGCGAGAGUAGUACUAGGAUUGGUGACCUCCUGGGAAGUCCUCGUGUUGCAUUCC